rnacentral:rRNA from 1 species
GAUACCCUGGUAGUCCACGCCCUAAACGAUGUCAACUGGUUGUUGGGAAUUUACUUUCUCAGUAACGAAGCUAACGCGUGAAGUUGACCGCCUGGGGAGUACGGCCGCAAGGUUAAAACUCAAAGGAAUUGACGGGGACCCGCACAAGCGGUGGAUGAUGUGGUUUAAUUCGAUGCAACGCGAAAAACCUUACCCACCUUUGACAUGUAUGGAAGAUCGCAGAGACGCGAUUGUGCUCGAAAGAGAGCCAUAACACAGGUGCUGCAUGGCUGUCGUCAGCUCGUGUCGUGAGAUGUUGGGUUAAGUCCCGCAACGAGCGCAACCCUUGCCAUUAGUUGCUACAUUUAGUUGGGCACUCUAAUGGGACUGCCGGUGACAAACCGGAGGAAGGUGGGGAUGACGUCAAGUCCUCAUGGCCCUUAUAGGUGGGGCUACACACGUCAUACAAUGGCUGGUACAAAGGGUUGCCAACCCGCGAGGGGGAGCUAAUCCCAUAAAGCCAGUCGUAGUCCGGAUCGUAGUCUGCAACUCGACUACGUGAAGUCGGAAUCGCUAGUAAUCGUGGAUCAGAAUGUCACGGUGAAUACGUUCCCGGGUCUUGUACACACCGCCCGUCACACCAUGGGAGCGGGUCUCGCCAGAAGUAGUUAGCCUAACCGCAAGGAGGGCGAUUACCACGGCGGGGUUCGUGACUGGGGUGAAGUCGUAACAAGGUAGCCGUAUCGGAAGGUGCGGCUGGAUCACCUCCUU